rnacentral:rRNA from 1 species
UCCAGACUCCUACGGGAGGCAGCAGUGGGGAAUAUUGCACAAUGGGGGAAACCCUGAUGCAGCGACGCCGCGUGAGUGAAGAAGUAAUUCGUUAUGUAAAGCUCUAUCAGCAGGGAAGAAAAUGACGGUACCUGAGUAAGAAGCCCCGGCUAACUACGUGCCAGCAGCCGCGGUAAUACGUAGGGGGCAAGCGUUAUCCGGAUUUACUGGGUGUAAAGGGAGCGUAGGCGGGCGAGAAAGUUGAAUGUUAAAUCUACCGGCUUAACUGGUAGCUGCGUUCAAAACUUCUUGUCUUGAGUGAAGUAGAGGCAGGCGGAAUUCCUAGUGUAGCGGUGAAAUGCGUAGAUAUUAGGAGGAACACCAGUGGCGAAGGCGGCCUGCUGGGCUUUAACUGACGCUGAGGCUCGAAAGCGUGGGGAGCAAACAGGAUUAGAUACCCGCGUAUC